UACGUAGGGUGCGAGCGUUUGUCCGGAAUUACUGGGCGUAAAGAGCUCGUAGGUGGUUUGUCGCGUUGUCCGUGAAAUUCCCUGGCUUAACUGGGGGCGUGCGGGCGAUACGGGCAGACUGGAGUACUGCAGGGGAGACUGGAAUUCCUGGCGUAGCGGUGGAAUGCGCAGAUAUCAGGAGGAACACCGGUGGCGAAGGCGGGCUCUGGGGCAGUAAC
rnacentral:rRNA from 1 species